rnacentral:rRNA from 1 species
UACGGAGGGUGCGAGCGUUGUCCGGAAUCACUGGGCGUAAAGCGUGCGCAGGCGGUUUUGUAAGCCAGAUGUGAAAGCCCCGGGCUCAACCUGGGAAUGGCAUUUGGGACUGCAAGGCUGGAGUUUGGCAGAGGAGACUGGAAUUCCUGGUGUAGCAGUGAAAUGCGUAGAUAUCAGGAGGAACACCGAUGGCGAAGGCAGGUCUCUGGGCUGAAACUGACGCUCAUGCACGAAAGCGUGGGGAGCAAACAGG